rnacentral:rRNA from 1 species
GACGAACGCUGGCGGCGUGCCUAAUACAUGCAAGUCGAGCGCAGGAAGUCAUCCGAACCCUUCGGGGGGACGUUGACGGAAUGAGCGGCGGACGGGUGAGUAACACGUAAAGAACCUGCCCUCAGAUCUGGGAUAACCACGAGAAAUCGGGGCUAAUACCGGAUGGGUCAUCGGACCGCAUGGUCCGAGGAUGAAAGGCGCUCCGGCGUCGCCUGGGGAUGGCUUUGCGGUGCAUUAGCUAGUUGGUGGGGUAAUGGCCCACCAAGGCGACGAUGCAUAGCCGACCUGAGAGGGUGAUCGGCCACACUGGGACUGAGACACGGCCCAGACUCCUACGGGAGGCAGCAGUAGGGAAUCUUCCACAAUGGACGAAAGUCUGAUGGAGCAACGCCGCGUGAACGAUGAAGGCCCUCGGGUCGUAAAGUUCUGUUGUAAGGGAAGAACAAGUGCCGCAGGCAAUGGCGGCACCUUGACGGUACCUUGCGAGAAAGCCACGGCUAACUACGUG